UAAAUCCCGGGACUAAUCCAGGGAUCGCGGGAUGUUGACAAUACCAUCCCGAAAAUACCGGUAUCGGAAAAAGCCGGAAAAUUAACAUCCCUAAUUUAUAUACAUACGUAUAAUAUGUUCGUAUGGAAUAGUAGCUUAAGUUAGGAGGCGGGCUUUUGUAUAGUGUACCAUUCGCAGCUGACGAUUACGAAUAUCGCACUGACACCGUGCCCUUGAAGACCCUUGGCAAAUAAACGUAACAAAUAAUUCUGGUGCAAGCAACUCAACAUUCUUUGUGCUUUAAGGAACAAACGGAAUGGUGUAUUAUACUAAAGCUAGCCUCACGACUUAAAGUUAUAUACCACACGAUCACAGAUAUAUUUACAUACAUAUGUAAGUACAUAUGUAUGUAUGUAAAUUCCUUGUAAACUAAACUUUCUUCUAUAUGAAUAAAAAAUAAAUAAAAAAUAUGUGGCUGAAUCCACGGCUAAUCCGGAGUUGGUUGCAGUUAUAGAUGCCGAUGCAGCUGUUCGUUUGGCAGUUUAUGUAUCAUACCGUUUCUAAGACCUGACUGUUGGACCCAAUUGAUGGCGUAUUCUACUUCCUACUACCUUUGACAUACAAGGUUCCAGAAGGAAGGUAUUCAUAUAAAUAAAUAAUAUGUGGCUGAAUCCACGGCUAAUCCGGAGUUGGUUGCAGUUAUAGAUGCCGAUGCAGUUGUUCGUUUGGCAGUUUAUGUAUCAUACCGUUUCUAAGACCUGACUGUUGGACCCAAUUGAUGGCGUAUUCUACUUCCUACUACCUUUGACAUACAAGGUUCCAGAAGGAAGGUAUUCACGUUUUGGCGAAUAAAUAAAAUAAAAAUUAUUUCCAUUGAAAUAAAAGAGUA